rnacentral:pre_miRNA from 1 species
CUUAUACUCCCUCCGUUCCGAAUUACUUGUCGCACGUAUGGAUGUAUCUAGAUGUAUUUUUUUCUAGAUACAUCCAUUUCAGCGACAUGUAAUUUGGAACGGAGGGAGUAUCUU